rnacentral:tRNA from 1 species
UGGCUCAGUGGUAGAGCGCUUGCCUUGCAUGUAUGAGGCCCUGGGUUCGAUUUCUCAG